GAUGAACGCUGGCGGCGUGCCUAAUACAUGCAAGUCGAGCGAACGGACGAGAAGCUUGCUUCUCUGAUGUUAGCGGCGGACGGGUGAGUAACACGUGGAUAACCUACCUAUAAGACUGGGAUAACUUCGGGAAACCGGAGCUAAUACCGGAUAAUAUUUUGAACCGCAUGGUUCAAAAGUGAAAGACGGUCUUGCUGUCACUUAUAGAUGGAUCCGCGCUGCAUUAGCUAGUUGGUAAGGUAACGGCUUACCAAGGCAACGAUGCAUAGCCGACCUGAGAGGGGGAUGGGCCAAGCGGGAAGGGAGCCACGGUAAAGACGAUGAAGGGGGGAAGAAGGAGGGAAGUGGGGGAAAUGGGAGAAAGCAGGACGGAGCAACGAGGUGGGAGGGAGGAAGGUGUUCGGAUCGUAAACCCCUGUUAUGAGGGACGAAAAAAGGGGGAAGUAACUAGGCACGGCGGGACGGUACCUAAGAAGAAGGACAAGGCUAACUAGGGG
rnacentral:rRNA from 1 species